rnacentral:rRNA from 1 species
ACACUUGGAAACAGGUGCUAAUACCGCAUAACCAUCAAAACCACCUGGUUUUGAUGUUAAAGAUGGUUCUGCUAUCGCUUUAAGAUGGACCCGCGGCGUAUUAGCUAGUUGGUGAGGUAACGGCUUACCAAGGCAAUGAUACGUAGCCGAACUGAGAGGUUGAUCGGCCACAUUGGGACUGAGACACGGCCCAAACUCCUACGGGAGGCAGCAGUAGGGAAUCUUCCACAAUGGACGAAAGUCUGAUGGAGCAACGCCGCGUGAGUGAAGAAGGUUUUCGGAUCGUAAAACUCUGUUGUCAGAUUUGAACGUGUGUGAGAGUAACUGUUCACGCAGUGACGGUAUCUGACCAGAAAGUCACGGCUAACUACGUGCCAGCAGCCGCGGUAAUACGUAGGUGGCAAGCGUUGUCCGGAUUUAUUGGGCGUAAAGGGAACGCAGGCGGUCUUUUAAGUCUGAUGUGAAAGCCUUCGGCUUAACCGAAGUCGGGCAUUGGAAACUGGGAGACUUGAGUGCAGAAGAGGAGAGUGGAACUCCAUGUGUAGCGGUGAAAUGCGUAGAUAUAUGGAAGAACACCAGUGGCGAAAGCGGCUCUCUGGUCUGUA